rnacentral:misc_RNA from 1 species
GGAAGUAAAAGUCGUGACAAGGUUUCCGUAGGUGAACCUGCGGAAGGAUCAUUGUCGAAACCUGCCCAGCAGAACGACCCGCGAACUUGUAUAAACAACCGGGGGCGGGGGGCGUUCUCGCCCCGUGCCCCCGAACGGCGGGGAGACACUCGUGCCUUCUUGCCGAACAACGAACCCCGGCGCGGUCUGCGCCAAGGAACUUCAACUAAAGAGUGCCUCCGGUCGCCUCGGAAACGGCGUGCGUGCCGGGGGCGAAUCUUGUGCAAAACCAUAACGACUCUCGGCAACGGAUAUCUCGGCUCUC